rnacentral:rRNA from 1 species
CUGGCGGCGUGCCUAAUACAUGCAAGUCGAACGCUUCACUUCGGUGAAGAGUGGCGAACGGGUGAGUAAUACAUAAGUAACCUGGCAUCUACAGGGGGAUAACUGAUGGAAACGUCAGCUAAGACCGCAUAGGUGUAGAGAUCGCAUGAACUCUAUAUGAAAAGUGCUACGGGACUGGUAGAUGAUGGACUUAUGGCGCAUUAGCUGGUUGGUAGGGUAACGGCCUACCAAGGCGACGAUGCGUAGCCGACCUGAGAGGGUGACCGGCCACACUGGGACUGAGACACGGCCCAGACUCCUACGGGAGGCAGCAGUAGGGAAUUUUCGGCAAUGGGGGAAACCCUGACCGAGCAACGCCGCGUGAAGGAAGAAGUAAUUCGUUAUGUAAACUUCUGUCAUAGAGGAAGAACGGUGGAUAUAGGGAAUGAUAUCCAAGUGACGGUACUCUAUAAGAAAGCCACGGCUAACUACGUGCCAGCAGCCGCGGUAAUACGUAGGUGGCGAGCGUUAUCCGGAAUUAUUGGGCGUAAAGAGGGAGCAGGCGGCACUAAGGGUCUGUGGUGAAAGAUCGAAGCUUAACUUCGGUAAGCCAUGGAAACCGUAGAGCUAGAGUGUGUGAGAGGAUCGUGGAAUUCCAUGUGUAGCGGUGAAAUGCGUAGAUAUAUGGAGGAACACCAGUGGCGAAGGCGACGAUCUGGCGCAUAACUGACGCUCAGUCCCGAAAGCGUGGGGAGCAAAUAGGAUUAGAUACCCUAGUAGUCCACGCCGUAAACGAUGAGUACUAAGUGUUGGGAGUCAAAUCUCAGUGCUGCAGUUAACGCAAUAAGUACUCCGCCUGAGUAGUACGUUCGCAAGAAUGAAACUCAAAGGAAUUGAC